AAGUAAACAAAUGGGACCUAAUGAAACUUAAAAGCUUUUGCGCAGCAAAGGAAACCAUAAAGAAGACCAAAAGACAACCCUCAGAAUGGGAGAAAAUAUUUGCAAAUGAAGCAACUGACAAAGGAUUAAUCUCCAAAAUUUAUAAGCAGCUCAUGCAGCUUAAUAACAGAAAAACAAACAACCCAAUCCAAAAAUGGGCAGAAGACCUAAAUAGACAUUUCUCCAAAGAAGAUAUACAGAUUGCCAACAAACACAUGAAACAAUGCUCAACAUCAUUAAUCAUUAGAGAAAUGCAAAUCAAAACUACAAUGAGAUGUCAUCUCACACCGGUCAGAAUGGCCAUCAUCAAAAAAUCUACAAACAAUAAAUGCUGGAGAGGGUGUGGAGAAAAGGGAACCCUCUUACACUGUUGGUGGGAAUGUAAAUUGAUACAGCCACUGUGGAGAACAGUAUGGAGGUUCCUUAAAAAACUACAAAUAGAACUACCAUAUGACCCAGCAAUCCCACUACUGGGCAUAUACCCUGAGAAAACCAAAAUUCAAAGAGUCAUGUACCAAAAUGUUCAUUGCAGCUCUAUUUACAAUAGCCCGGAGAUGGAAACAACCUAAGUGCCCAUCGGAUGAAUGGAUAAAGAAGAUGUGGCACAUAUAUACAAUGGAAUAUUAUUCAGCCAUAAAAAGAAACGAAAUUGAGCUAUUUGUAAUGAGGUGGAUAGACCUGGAGUCUGUCAUACAGAGUGAAGUAAGUCAGAAAGAAAAAGACAAAUACCGUAUGCUAACACAUAUAUAUGGAAUUUAAGAAAAAAAAUGUCAUGAAGGGCCUAGGGGUAAGGCAGGAAUAAAGACGCAGACCUACUAGAGAACGGACUUGAGGUUAUGGGGAGGGGGAAGGGUGAGCUGUGACAGGGCGAGAGAGAGUCAUGGACAUAUACACACUAACAAACGUAGUAAGGUAGAUAGCUAGUGGGAAGCAGCCGCGUGGCACAGGGAUAUUGGCUCGGUGCUUUGUGACAGCCUGGAGGGGUGGGAUAGGGAGGGUGGGAGGGAGGGAGAUGCAGGAGGGAGGACAUAUGGGAACAUAUGUAUAUGUAUAACUGAUUCACUUUGUUGUAAAGCAGAAACUAACACACCAUUGUAAAGCAAUUAUACCCCAAUAAAGAUGUUAAAAAAAAAUACUAUGAUCAA